GACAGAGGGUGCGAACGUUGUUCGGAAUUACUGGGCGUAAAGCGCGUGUAGGCGGCUCGAUAAGUCGGAUGUGAAAGCCCUGGGCUCAACCUAGGAAGUGCAUUCGAAACUGCUGAGCUUGAGUUCUGGAGAGGAAGGCGGAAUUCUCGGUGUAGAGGUGAAAUUCGUAGAUAUCGAGAGGAACACCGGUGGCGAAGGCGGCCUCUGGACAGCAACUGACGCUGAGACGCGAAAGCGUGGGGAGCAAACAGG
rnacentral:rRNA from 1 species